GUGACCCUAAAUCAAGGUCAUCAGUUUUCUGUAGCUGUUUAUUUCAACCCAAAUCCUCAAGGGAAGACUUUCUAAGGUGUUUUGACAAUUUUGGAAGUUUAAAAAUGCAGUAGUCAGUGAAUUAGAAAGAAAUAGCA
rnacentral:snoRNA from 1 species